ACUCAUCAAGCCCUGCCUAUAAAGGAAGCAGGAAGUUAAGGGUUCCUUCUUUCAUCUUCAAGGCUGCACACAGCAGGCAGCAACAGAAAUUUUUCACUCCUUAUUCAAUCUGGUGAAGAAAUGAAAAGAGGAGUUUGUCUGACUGUCAACCUACGAGCACCAAACACGUGGAGGACUGUACACACACCUGUGGAGGAUGUAGAGGACCAUCUCUUUGCUUCCUGCACUGGCAGCGUGAUGACGUAACCUGCAGCCGGACGAGUCGAGUGACGUCAGGUCGGCUCCCUCCAGGUGCGGCUCCCUCCCUCCAGGUGCGGCUCCCUGCAGCUGAUGAUUCAAUUCAAAGACACAUACACAGAAGUCAAUGUGAUGCAGAAUGGACACCGCAGUAGUUACUUUCCAAAAAAACGGGCAGCCUGACCAAAACAAGACAAAGAGCUGUUAACAUGUAUGCUACACCACGCUGCCUCACCUGCUUCCUUCAACAUUUGGUGUUUCCUCGCUCUGUGCUGCAUCUGGAAGGAUUUUCUUUAGAUUAAAGUUAACUUGUUAGCUGUUUUAGUUUUCUUUCAGUCAUAGUUUGUUGUUUUCAUCUAUAGAUUUAGUUAAAAGUCUGUUUUCUUUAACUUUCAUUUGAAAGCUUCAAUAACAUUUUAAAGUCUUAAUUUGUUUCAUGUUCGUGUUGUCAGCAUCUUUAAUUCCUAAUAGAUGUUUUGUAGGAGUUGUUUCCUUCAGUCACAAUGCUGUAAAACUUGUUUAAACACUACAAUAAAUAAAACACACCUGGCAGAUAACCAGAGCCUCACAGAUGCAGAAUGGA